rnacentral:rRNA from 1 species
UGCUGUGAAAAUCCGGGGCUCAACCCCGGACUUGCAGUGGGUACGGGCAGACUAGAGUGUGGUAGGGGAGACUGGAAUUCCUGGUGUAGCGGUGAAAUGCGCAGAUAUCAGGAGGAACACCGAUGGCGAAGGCAGGUCUCUGGGCCACUACUGACGCUGAGAAGCGAAAGCAUGGGGAGCGAACAGGAUUAGAUACCCUGGUAGUCCAUGCCGUAAACGUUGGGAACUAGGUGUGGGUCUCAUUCCACGAGAUCCGUGCCGCAGCUAACGCAUUAAGUUCCCCGCCUGGGGAGUACGGCCGCAAGGCUAAAACUCAAAGGAAUUGACGGGGGCCCGCACAAGCGGCGGAGCAUGCGGAUUAAUUCGAUGCAACGCGAAGAACCUUACCAAGGCUUGACAUAUACCGGAAACACUCAGAGAUGGGUGCCCCGCAAGGUCGGUAUACAGGUGGUGCAUGGUUGUCGUCAGCUCGUGUCGUGAGAUGUUGGGUUAAGUCCCGCAACGAGCGCAACCCUCGUUCUAUGUUGCCAGCGGAUAAUGCCGGGGACUCAUAGAAGACUGCCGGGGUCAACUCGGAGGAAGGUGGGGAUGACGUCAAAUCAUCAUGCCCCUUAUGUCUUGGGCUUCACGCAUGCUACAAUGGCCGGUACAAAGGGCUGCGAUACCGCAAGGUGGAGCGAAUCCCAAAAAACCGGUCUCAGUUCGGAUUGGGGUCUGCAAC